AACGAACUGGUGCUGGAGUUUGGGGUUCCUGGUUGGUGUCCUGAGGAGCAAAGGGAUAAAAUGGAGCAAACCCUGGUGGGUAAGGGCCAAAUGGAGGUGAACAGACAAAUGGAGGGCCUUGUGGACUUGAUGGAAACACGGGCACCAGAGUACGGAGGGGUUUCACAUCUAAAACCCUUGAUUUAUCCGAGGAACCUGGAGUACUACGAGCAGCAAUGAAGGCCGCUGUUGAAACACCUUCCAUUACUAAACCUAGAUCAGGAAAACCAAAGGAAACCAAAAAAAAAAUCAGAAAAACCCCAACCGGGAAAUAAGUAAUAACCCCAAAUCCAUUAGACGAAGCUAAAAGCUAGAAGAUCAGCGAAAGAACUCACCUAGCCUUUUUCACAAACAGUUGGUGAGCAACAAACGAUUCUUCCUUUUCGACCCAACCCUUCAUGGGAAAAAGGAAGAGGGACCAUAACGAUUUGGUUAGUAUGCCCGUACUACUAGCCAGUAGCUGAAAGAUGGUUCAAAAGCGGCAGAAAUGGGAGUUGGAGAAUGGAUUUACCUCUCUGGACGGACUUGUUGGAGAUGAAAGGGCAUGCAGGAAGCAAUGGAACAAACUAAAGUCUUAAGAUUUGUAUAGAAAGCAAGGAACUUUUUAAACUGUUUCUUUCGGCGAUCGGGAAGUCAAAUCGUUGUGGCAAGAGAGUCUCCCCCUUAAUCCGACGGAUCAUGCUCAUCGGAUCUGAUUUAUUAUUAAUUUUGUGCGAUCAUUGUCAUUAUGGUCCGCCACUUACAUAAAACAUUCUAAUACUAAGACAAGACCAUGAGAUCAUUCGAAUAACACCACAUCUAUUAAAGUCUAGUACCGAUACGGGCAUAAAAUAUCACCCACCUUUAAAGCAGAUAAUAGUCGAGCUUUGAUAUCGUUUGUAACAAUCCACCUUAGGUAAAUUUUGGUUGAACCGUAAACUCAACUCAUGCAACAAACUAUCCGAGUGUUACGAUGUAAACACACAAGUAAAUAUUGCAACCAGAUAACUGGAAAUGACACACUGACCUAUUAAAUAAACUUGCUUCUUUUCAAAAGGGGCUUAAACACACUUUUACAAGUUGAUAAGCAGUAAUGAAAACUAGAAGGCUAUAAACGUAGAUCGCGCAACUCACCCAAUUUCUGCAUUCACGAGUUUUUUAACAGAAAAAACAAUCGGAUAUGCAAAACAAUGGAUCAGUGCUAGUCACCGAGUAAGAUACUAAACUAGAUUAUUAAGCAUUAGAGUUCACCAACUUAAGCAAGGCUAUGUUAUGCACACCUGGUUAAACAGACUGUAUCGACUGUACUAACUAUCUAAAUGAUAGUAGUUAUAUUACCUGGAUAAUCCUGGUUAUACGAGAUAUGGGUACUAAUAGUUGCCUACUUGAUAAUGGUCCCCGUGUACCAAAUAAGUGGUCGACGAAGGGUCCCGAAUAGUUAAUAAAACCUAGUAGGUUACACAAUCUAAGAUGGGCUACCAACAUUGAUCAAUGCAUGUUCAAUCCUAAGGAAAUCAACUGAUCCGCCAAUAACUGGCGAGAAAAACAAACGGUACAACCAAAAUGGUACUACUAAUGAUAUCCGAUGUAUAAUCUAGACCAUAAUAGCACAUAGACGCAUUCACUUGUAACUAUAGUUGUAUGCGCCGCAUUUUACUCCGUCAUGGGAAUUUUCUUAUAACAAACAAGGAUAACACGUACCAAUUAACAGAGACAUCUAAAAGAUGGAUUGUAUGCUUCCCGGGGCCGGUUUUGCUAACAAGAAUACAACAUGAUUAGGCUUGUUGCGUCGAAUAGAAUUAAGAUUACAACAUGACUAAUAACUAACUUAGUUUACACACAAAUACUAAGAGUACUUCAAGCUGCAGAAGUUCCGCUGACCUUGAUACACACUUCCCCUACAGAUUACACACAAUCACAUUAACCCCUAAACAUAACUAACGAUAAGAUCCAAAUGCCACUGAUGUUGAGAUCUAGUAACGCAAGGAGACGUCAAAAUGAUGCCCACAAGUAACCUUGGUGUAUCACAGGCCAACUGUGGUGCUGCUCGUUGGCCGCGGCUCACCCCAAAAGGUUUCGUUACCCGAGUGUUACUUAAACUGCAUGGCAAUGAAAGAGGCAAUAAGUUAUAUGUGGGAGGUAAGUUGGGAUUUUCACCAGGUAAUAGCAAACAAAUUUUAGUGUUUUUUGGUUGAAAUUCUAUACUUCUAUGCAGAGUAGAUUAUAACCAGAUCAAAGAAACAAAAGACAUAAACAUGCCCAGUAAUAUCAAAGCAAACUGACGGUACGCUCAUGUGUUCAUCCAGUUCCCAUAAGUCUAUGAACACAAACAUCACCAGAUCCUGGUUCAGACCUUGUAACCAACAAUCAUUCAGAAAAAAAGAACAAGCCACUGAAGGCUACCGGCAGGGUUUCGACUCGGAUCAUCCCGUUACCAUGGUACUUACCGGAUAUCCAUAGACUAAGUACGGCGUCAUUUGUAUUUUCAGACAAUAGAUAUCCUUGUUCUCAAUCCAACUUCCACAUAGAUGUCCUUAAAUAUCCAGAUAUUUCAAUGAGCACAUUUCACGAAAUACCUUGAUUCCUAAAUCACAUUUUCCAAACAAACAACACAAAAUGGGAAAACCCAGUACAUAAAUAUGGAUCUGUCUGCCUAGGAAAUAGCUUCUAAAACCAUGCUUGGACUGUUGCAUGACACAAGUAAUGCUUCUAAGUCGGAAAGUCAAGAUCAUCAACUGCAGGAUAACUAACAAAACAAAUGCAACUGGUAGACAGAAAGAACUCUACUUGAUGAAGAUAACCAGAAAAGUCUGGGGCAGAUGAAUUUCAGACUGUCACCAAUAAGGCAUCAAACAUGGCAUACUGCAAGAUAACUAACCUUUAGUUCCGAAAGGAGCUCCACCAUGGGACAGGACGCAAAAUGCAAAACAAUCAGCCAAAAUAGCCUUUACACCUUGACGAUCCACAUAAACACUUCUUCCUUCCCUGAGCACCGGAUACCCCAUAAUCGAAGGUCAACUCCGUCAUUGGCGGAAUAUGACUCAUUGCAAAGAAAGCGAUAUUGAUAUGAGUUUCAUUGUUGUUCUCGUACAUAACUGGCUGCCAGAAUGUGUUGGGCUCACAACUGUGAUUCAUAAACCGAGCUACAUUUCCAUCAUUCUUGGCAUUUAUCACGAGUGGAUACGGAAUAUCAUACUCUUCAUCACUGUCGUUAAGAUCAUCUUCUAUCAACCCAGGUUCACAAUUCCACCUGAACGAACCAUAUACACGGGUUGUAUCAAAGACAUAGUCAUCUCCGUCACUUGCUUCACCAUUUUGUGCCGGUUUAACCUUUUCUGUCGCUUCACCGGCAUAUACACAUAUAAAGCUACCAGCACGAAUCGGAUCCCAUGACCUUAGACCCCAACCUCUACCCUUUGUCUUGAAAACUUCUAGGUGAACUUUCAAACCAGUUUGAGACACACGGUUUUUGCAGUUAGCAAGGCAUGGACAUGUAGGACCACAUUCAUAGACUAAUGACUUCCUACUAACAAGAGUCCCGUUACCAAUAUAGGGGCUCAUGUUGCCAUUUAAUCUCAUGCAAGAGCAUUUUUCGUCAUUUGCCCGGCAUGCAUUACGGCAGUUGCACCCUAAAGAUGGCUGAGAUAGUUUAAAUGACUUGGAGUACUUCACAGAAGCAAGAUAUGUGAAGUGAGCAGGCCCCUUUUCUUCGUCGACAUCAUUUACAAGUGAAACAGGUAAACUUUCGGCCCCCGAAGUGAGGUCGGGAAGAAUCAACCCCACUCUGGAAGAAACUCCUCCCUCCUUCCAUCUCUCAACUGAUUUCCAGACAGAAAAGGCAUCAGCUUGACCAGGCAUCCUAACAAGCUUGUAUUUGAAUAUAUUGCAACCCGUAUUGGCCUUCUCCAUCCACGACUCCUUAAUCGUGUAAAGACCAUCAUACACAUAAACCUUUGACGCUAUAGUGUUGCCAUCUUUCACACCUCGGAUGACACGGACCUGGCUUCCCCUGCGUAGACUCCUCUCCAACGCAAGAUUACCUCUCUCAAGUUUCUGAUCAGAUGCUUCCUUUUUGCUGGUGGAGUUACCUCCAUGGCCACUGUAGAUAAGAACAUCCGAAUCAUCUGCAGCAUUGUCAUAGUUACCAGAUGAAACAAUGCUUGUAGCCAGUGGUUCUUCCUCUAAAUCACCUCUUACGAUCAUAUAAUCUAUGCCAGCCAUGGUCUGGGUAUGCAGGCCAACCAAACACAUCUCCAUACGUAAAAAGAAGAUAUCACCAACCUCAACUCCAGGAACCACUCCCGUUCUCUUCCUAGAGUUCGUCCUUACAUUGUUUCCCAUCAAGGUAGCGCAAGCUUUUAAGUGAGCACCCUUCCUACUCCCAUGAUUCGUGUCGUUCGCAUCCUCUAGCUGGCUAAUUUUUCUCCUUAGAGCUUCAAACCUCAUUAGAAGACUAACAACAAUACUCCUAUCACCAUCCUCCUUUUGAGCAGGACUGAUCCCCAACACAAAACUACUACUUGGAACAGGCAGCAAAAAGUCAUCCGGGGCACUCUUUGCCUUCUUCGGAGUUGGGGAUGCCUUGGCAGGUCGUCCCGCCCUACGUUUUGUAGGUGGAUCAGAGUGAACACCUCCUCCAUUAUCGACCGAGAUGGGUUCAGGAGCUCGGAAUGAACGAAGUGGCGUUGGAGUUUGGGGUUCCUGGUUGGUGUCCUGUGGAGAAAAGGGAUAAAAUGGAGCAAACCCAGGUGGGUAAGGACCAAAUGGAGGUGAACAGACAAAUGGAGGGCCUUGAGGACUUGAUGGAAACACGGGCACCAGAGUACGGAGGGGUUUCACAUCCAAAACUCUUGAUUUAUCCAUGGAAACUGUACUACUACGAGCAGAAUUGAAGGCCGCUGUUGAAACUCCUUCCAUUACCAGAACUAGAUCAGGAAAACCAAGAAAAAUAAUAA
rnacentral:lncRNA from 1 species